rnacentral:tRNA from 1 species
CCGACUUUAGCUCAGUUGGUAGAGCGGAGGACUGUAGUGGGAUAUAAAAUCCUGAAUUAGUAAUCCUUAGGUCGCUGGUUCGAAUCCGGCAAGUCGGA